rnacentral:rRNA from 1 species
UACGAAGGGUGCAAGCGUUACUCGGAAUUACUGGGCGUAAAGGGUGCGUAGGUGGUUUGUUAAGUCUGCUGUGAAAUCCCCGGGCUCAACCUGGGAAUGGCAGUGGAUACUGGCAAGCUAGAGUGCGGUAGAGGGUAGUGGAAUUCCCGGUGUAGCAGUGAAAUGCGUAGAGAUCGGGAGGAACACCAGUGGCGAAGGCGGCUACCUGGACCAGCACUGACACUGAAGCACGAAAGCGUGGGGAGCAAACAGGG